AGAGUUUGAUCAUGGCUCAGAGUGAACGCUGGCGGCGUGCCUAACACAUGCAAGUCGAACGAGAACGGCUCCAGCUUGCUGGGGUGUCAGCUAAGUGGCGCACGGGUGAGUAAGGUAUAGCUAACGUGCCCCUUGGAGGGGGAUAACGGCUGGAAACGGCCGCUAAUACCCCAUAUUCCUUUCAUACACAAGUGUGAUUGGGAAAUGGAUUCCGCCAAGGGAUCGGGCUAUAUGGUAUCAGCUAGUUGGUGAGGUAAGAGCUCACCAAGGCGAUGACGCCUAGCUGGUCUGAGAGGAUGAUCAGCCACACUGGAACUGAGACACGGUCCAGACUCCUACGGGAGGCAGCAGUGGGGAAUAUUGCACAAUGGGGGAAACCCUGAUGCAGCAACGCCGCGUGGAGGAUGACACCCUUCGGGGCGUAAACUCCUUUUAUGAGGGAAGAUAAUGACGGUACCUCAGAA
rnacentral:rRNA from 1 species